rnacentral:rRNA from 1 species
CUGCUCAAUGAAAAAAUUUAAAUAGCUGCAAAUUUUGUACUAAGGUAGCAUAAUCAUUUGUUUUUUAAUUUAAAACUAGAAUGAAAGGUAAAACAAAUCAUCUCUUUAUUUUAUAUUUUAUUUUAACUUAUAUUAAAUAUAAAAAUAUAUUUUUUUAAAAAAAAGACGACAAGACCCUAUUGAACUUUACUUUAGUUUAGCUGGGGAAGCUAAAUAAUAAAUAUUUUAUUAUAAAUUUUAUAAAUGACCCAAAACAUUUGAUUAAUUAAUCAAGUUACCAUAGGGAUAACAGCGCAAUAAAUUUUUAAAGUUCUUAUAUAAAAAUUUGCUUACGACCUCGAUGUUGAAUUAGAAAUCUUUAUUAAGCAAAAAUA